GAUGAACGCUAGCUACAGGCUUAACACAUGCAAGUCGAGGGGCAGCUAUAUUUUUAGCUUGCUUCCUUGGGCGUCGACCGGCGCACGGGUGAGUAACGCGUAUCCAACUUCCCGCAAGUAAGGGAUAACCCGUAGAAAUGCGGCCUAAUACCUUAUGUUUUCCUUAGAGGGCAUCUGAUGAGGAACAAAGAUCCGUCGCUUGCGGAUGGGGAUGCGUCUGAUUAGUUAGUCGGCGGGGUAACGGCCCACCGAGACGACGAUCAGUAGGGGUUCUGAGAGGAAAGUCCCCCACAUUGGAACUGAGACACGGUCCAAACUCCUACGGGAGGCAGCAGUGAGGAAUAUUGGUCAAUGGGCGGAAGCCUGAACCAGCCAAGUAGCGUGCAGGACGACGGCCCUAUGGGUUGUAAACUGCUUUUAUGCGGGGAUAAAGUGGGCCACGCGUGGCCUUUUGCAGGUACCGCAUGAAUAAGGACCGGCUAAUUCCGUG
rnacentral:rRNA from 1 species